rnacentral:rRNA from 1 species
ACGAACGCUGGCGGUGUGCUUCACACAUGCAAGUCGAACGGGGUAGCAAUACCCAGUGGCGGACGGGUGAGUAACACGUGGGAAUCUACCAUUAGAUGGGGAAUAACAGGCCGAAAGGACUGCUAAUGCCGCAUAUGUAUGUGCCUCGACAGGGGCGUAUAUGAAAGGAGUAAUCCGUCUGAUGAUGAGCCCGCGUCCGAUUAGCUAGUUGGUAGGGUAAAAGCCUACCAAGGCGACGAUCGGUAGGUGGCCUGAGAGGAUGAUCACCCACAAUGGGACUGAGACACGGCCCAUACUCCUACGGGAGGCAGCAGUGGGGAAUUUUGUGCAAUGGGGGAAACCCUGACACAGCGACACCGCGUGAGCGAAGAAGCCCUUUGGGGUGUAAAGCUCUGUCAACGGGAACGAAAAAAAUGACGGUACCCGUGGAGGAAGCAUCGGCUAACUACGUGCCAGCAGCCGCGGUAAGACGUAGGAUGCAAGCGUUGUCCGGAUUUAUUGGGCGUAAAGAGUUCGUAGGCUGUUUGUUAAGUCUGAUGUUAAAGACUGGGGCUCAACCUCGGAAAUGCAUUGGAUACUGGCAGACUGGAGUGCAGUAGAGGCUAGUGGAAUUCCCAGUGUAGCGGUGAAAUGCGUAGAUAUUGGGAAGAACACCGGUGGCGUAGGCGACUAGCUGGGCUGUAACUGACGCUGAGGAACGAAAGCCAGGGGAGCGAAUGGGAUUAGAUACCCCAGUAGUCCUGGCCGUAAACGAUGGAUACUAGGCGUAGUGGGUAUCGACC